UGGCUGAAUCAUGAAAUCGUUGGUUAUUCGUUAGGUUAAUUAGCCCUGCACUUCUCACACUGAGUUCAAAUCAUGCCAAUUUCAAUCUUUUUAGUCAUGUUGCAGUCAAAGUACCAGUUUUGCAUUGGGGUAGAUUUAUAUCUCUAUCUUCUUUCCACCUGACAAAGCUGCACCUGUAUUUCAAAGACGAUCUAGCAAGAUAUGUGAAGAGUUUUUUAAAGAUAUAACUGUGUUAAUAUGGAUGCACGACGGUCAUGGAGGAAAAAAUCUCAUACUUUAAACAGAAAAUUUAAGACCUGAUACUUGCAGCAGAGAAAAAUAUAAUGAACAUAGACAAUCCCAAAUUGUAUAUAGGACAGGAAGUCAGCAAGCAAACACAGAAACUGAGCAAAACCGGAAAUGAUUAUUGCAUAAUAUGCAUCAAAUUGCACAUUGAAUAUUGAUGCGGUUAAUUAGUUAGAUCGCGAUAAUCUAUGAUGUGGUCCCAUGCAGCCACUGGAAGCGUAAUAGUUUUAAUUUUGCGGAAAUUACUCUUAAGGAUGGGUGGAUUGGGACUUGUGUGCGCCAAUUAAUCUCAAGGAUCAUGAGUUCGAGUCCAAAGCACUACUUUUAGCUACAGCAAAUAUUCUGCUCAAUACCACGGAUUUGCCUGUCAGUUGUUUGAUCUUAAAUAGUUGAAUCCCAGCGAACGGUCUUUGUGGAAUCUGGCUUCUCGAGGUGGUCAUUAAACUCUGCAGUAAUUUUGGGAGCUGUACGUUUGUGACCCUUUCUAACAAUUCGCGUAAGAGUCCAAUGAUCCCAGUCUGAAAGUUUUCGUUUUCUUCCGGAGUUUUGUUUCCAUGAGGUAGUUUUCCCUCUUUCUCAAAUGCUGCUAUUACUUUCGAGACAGUACUUCUUGACACACCAAACAUUCGGCUGUUUUAGUUACGCUAGCGCCUGCCAUACGAGCACCAACAAUUUGACUUCUUUGAAAAUCUUAUAGAUCUGUGAUUUUAAUGAAUUUUAAUUACCGUUUUCUGAGGACAUCUGAAAAGAAACAGCAAUUUUAGCAAAACUUAUUAAGCAACACUAAUAAUAAAUAAAAAAAAAACAUAGAAAUGAACAAGAUUUUGACAGUUUUA